rnacentral:rRNA from 1 species
AGAGUUUGAUCCUGGCUCAGAACGAACGCUUGCGGCGUGCUUAACACAUGCAAGUCGAACGAGAAAGGGACUUCGGUCCUGAGUACAGUGGCGCACGGGUGAGUAACACGUGGAUAAUCUACCUGAUGGACAGGGAUAACAUCUCGAAAGAGGUGCUAAUACCAGAUAAGCCCACAGCAUCUACGGAUGCAGCGGGAAAAGGGGGCCUCUUCAUGAAAGCUUCCACCAACAGAUGAGUCCGCGGUCCAUUAGCUAGUUGGUAGGGUAAUGGCCUACCAAGGCCACGAUGGAUAGCUGGUUUGAGAGAAUGAUCAGCCACACUGGAACUGAGACACGGUCCAGACUCCUACGGGAGGCAGCAGUGGGGAAUAUUGCGCAAUGGGGGAAACCCUGACGCAGCAACGCCGCGUGAGUGAUGAAGGUUUUCGGAUCGUAAAGCUCUGUCAAGAGGGAAGAAACCCCGAUAGGCUAAUACCUUGUCGGAUUGACGGUACCUCUAAAGGAAGCACCGGCUAACUCCGUGCCAGCAGCCGCGGUAAUACGGAGGGUGCGAGCGUUGUUCGGAAUUAUUGGGCGUAAAGCGCGUGCAGGCGGUUGUUUAAGUCUGAUGUGAAAGCCCCGGGCUCAACCUGGGAAGUGCAUUGGAAACUGGGCAACUUGAGUACGGGAGAGGGAAGUGGAAUUUCGAGUGUAGGGGUGAAAUCCGUAGAUAUUCGAAGGAACACCAGUGGCGAAGGCGGCUUCCUGGACCGAUACUGACGCUGAGACGCGAAAGCGUGGGGAGCGAACAGGAUUAGAUACCCUGGUAGUCCACGCCGUAAACGCUGGGUAAUAGGUUUCGCGGGUAUUGACCCUUGCGGUGGCGACGCUUAACGAUUUAAAUACCCCCUCGGGGGGAGGACCGGUCCCACAACUAAAACCUCAAGGGAAUUUAGGGCGG